rnacentral:siRNA from 1 species
UGAAGAGGAACUCCAGCGGCUA